GUCUCUAUGAAGUUACAUGGAGUCUAACCUGCCCGUUGAAAUAUUUUGAAAGGCCGCGGUAUCCUAACUGUGCAAAGGUAGCAUAAUCAUUAGUUUUUUAAUUGAAGGCUAGUAUGAAGGGUUGGACAAAGAAAAAACUCUCUUUAUAUUUAUUUUUUAACUUUACUUUUAAGUGAAAAGGCUUAAAUAUUUUUAAGGGACGAUAAGACCCUAUAAAGCUUUAUAUUAACUUAUUUUUUAUAAAUUAAUAUUGUAAACUCCAUAUAAUAAAAUAAGACAUAUUUUGUUGGGGUGACGAGAAUAUAAACAUAACUGUUCUAAACAUUAAACAAAGUUAUUUGUAAAUUUAUAGAUCCUUUAUUAAAGAUUGUAAGUUUAAGUUACUUUAGGGAUAACAGCGUUAUUUUUUUUAAGAGUUCUUAUCGAAAAAAAAGUUUGCGACCUCGAUGUUGAAUUAAAAUUUCUUUAUGGUGUAGCCGCUAUAAUAAGAAAGUCUGUUCGACUUUU
rnacentral:rRNA from 2 species